GCAUCAGUGGUGUAGCGGUAACAUUGUUGCCUUCCAUUUGAUAAGCAAUAGCUCUGGGUUCGACUCCCGGCUGAUGCA